AGUACCAGGACCUAUUCCAUGAAUGUCGAGAAGAACACUCGGCCCUAAGCGACGAAGAAUUGUGUAAAAAGUGGGAAGAGGUAAUGACGUGCUCACAUGAAGGCCAUGGACACAAGGAAACUGAUUACAAAGAAACAUCGGAGUGUGCUCUUAAGCUUUAUGAUACCUGGAAACAUGGACACGCGUAAAUUACAAACCUGGCGUUUUUUACUUCCG